CCAAAAACCUCACACAAUCGCGCGAGAAGCGGGAUGAGGGGUUCCAAGUGCGUGCACUUUUUUUACGCUGUUUACUAGUUUAAAAAGCUAGUAGAGUAAGGGCUGGGUAAGACUGGGGCCAGCCGCCGCGGUAAUACCAGCGCCCCUAGUGGUGAUCGUUAUUUUUGGGCCUAAAGCUUCGGUAGCCGGUCCGGUAAAUUUUUGGUUAAGUCGUUGGGCUUAAUUCAACAAAUUUUGGGGAGAUUGCCGGAUUUGGGACGGGGAGAGGUGGAAGUAACUCUAGGGUUAGGGGUGAAAUCUUGUAUUCUUGGGGGGACCACCGGGGGGGAAACGUCCGACAAGAACGGGUCCGAGGUAAGGGACGAAGCCUUGGGGGGGGACCCGAUUUAAAUUCCCCCGGAAUCCCGGGGGGGUAAACCCUGGGGGCCUUGGGGGUUGGGGGGCCCCCCGGGGGCCCCCCCAGGGCCGGGAGAAAAAUUUGUUAAACCCUUCUUGCCUGGGGGGGGACCCCCCCCCAGGAGGAAAAUUUAAAGGGAAUUUGGGGGGGGGAAAGGGCCAAAUUCCCCGGCCCCCAAAAUUUAAUUUCCCCCCAUUGGGGGGUCGAAUUAAAAAUUUAACGGGCGGUUUUUUAAAAAAAGGAAAAAAACUUUUUCCCUUUUUUCCCCCCCCCCCUAAAUUUCCCCUCCCCAAAAGGGAUCUCCCCGGGGUUUAAAAAAAAUUCCCCCCUCCCCCCGGGGGGUUGGGUGU
rnacentral:rRNA from 1 species